GAUGAACGCUAGCGGCAGGCUUAACACAUGCAAGUCGAGGGGUAGAGGCUUUCGGGCCUUGAGACCGGCGCACGGGUACGUAACGCGUAUGCAAUCUGCCUUGUACUGGGGGAUAGCCCAGAGAAAUUUGGAUUAAUACCCCAUAGUAUUUUCGGUUGGCAUCAACUGAUUAUUAAAGUUUUUCGGUACAAGAUGAGCAUGCGUCCCAUUAGCUAGUUGGUAUGGUAACGGCAUACCAAGGCUACGAUGGGUAGGGGUCCUGAGAGGGAGAUCCCCCACACUGGUACUGAGACACGGUCCAGACUCCUACGGGAGGCAGCAGUGGGGAAUAUUGGACAAUGGGCGAAAGCCUGAUCCAGCCAUGCCGCGUGUGUGAAGAAGGUCUUCGGAUUGUAAAGCACUUUAAGUUGGGAGGAAGAGUUGUAAGCUAAUAUCUUGCAGCUUUGACAUUACCAACAGAAUAAGCACCGGCUAACUCUGUGCCAGCCGCCGCCGUAAAAC
rnacentral:rRNA from 1 species